rnacentral:rRNA from 1 species
CACGUAGGGCGCGAGCGUUGUCCGGAAUUAUUGGGCGUAAAGAGCUCGUAGGCGGCUUGUUGCGUCGACUGUGAAAACCUGCGGCUCAACCGUGUGGUCUGCAGUCGAUACGGGCAGGCUGGAGUUCGGUAGGGGAGACUGGAAUUCCUGGUGUAGCGGUGAAAUGCGCAGAUAUCAGGAGGAACACCGGUGGCGAAGGCGGGUCUCUGGGAAGUAACUGACGCUGAGAAGCGAAAGCAUGGGUAGCAAACAGG